UGCCAGCCGCCGCGGUAAUACAGAGGGCUCGAGCGUUAAUCGGAAUCACUGGGCUUAAAGCGUGCGUAGGCGGACUCGCAAGCAUUAUGUGAAAUCCCACGGCUCAACCGUGGAACUGCAUAAUGAACUGCGAGUCUUGAGGUCGGUAGAGGUUGUCGGAACUCUAGGUGGAGCGGUGAAAUGCGUAGAUAUCUAGAGGAACGCCUAAGGUGAAGACAGGCAACUGGGCCGAUCCUGACGCUGAGGCACGAAAGCGUGGGUAGCGAACGGGAUUAGAUA
rnacentral:rRNA from 1 species